GCUGCCUCUAACAUACAAUUACAAAUAACAAAACAAUUUGAAAAGAAAACAAAAGCCUAAAUACAAUUAAACAUGUAACAGAUGAUUGACAUAAGCUAAUUAAGUUUGUUUGAAGUAAUGCAUGCAGAUCAAAAUAUAAGGUACAGCAAUAAAACAAUUAUUAUGAAAUAUUGUAAUAAAUCCUGGUUAAGAUGAAAAUGGUUUGCAUGGUCAUGAUGGUAGUAUUCAACAAAUUGUAAAAUUGGAUUUCUUGAAAUGAGGUUGAACAGACAUGAUGUGUAUGCUAUGGUGGGGGUAUAAAAACACCAGAUAAAAGACAUACAGCUUGAAUUGUCUUUAUCAUUAGAAACAUGAAAACUUUCACCUAUGCAAGCAGUCAAAAGAAUAUGUAAAUUUAAAUGUUAAACUUAUUAAGUAACAUGUUGUAAAUUGCCCCUAGGAUAAUUAAGAGUAUUUAUGCCAAAAAAAUGUAUGUUUUGAGUCAUCAAUAUUCAAAAGCUCAAAAUAUCACAACAAACCUGCCAGUUUGGAAUUGAACUAAUAUACAUUUUUAUGUGAAUUUCUUACAACUGACAUUAAUGUAUAGUUAUUAAAAUAAAAUUCAUGAACAUGUUAUAAUAUUACUAGAAUAAAAUGAUAUUACAAUUCUUAAAUAUUUCUAAUGAUAGCCAGUAACAUUUUCCUAUUAAUACACAACAUCAUGCUAGUUUCGAAAUUCAUUUGACAUGUUACAUAAACAUUGAAUCUUGAUUUUCAAA
rnacentral:lncRNA from 1 species